rnacentral:rRNA from 1 species
UACGGAGGGUGCGAGCGUUGUCCGGAAUCACUGGGCGUAAAGGGCGCGUAGGCGGCUCAUGAAGGCUGUGGUGAAAGUCCGGGGCUCAACCUCGGAUCGGCCGUGGCGACUCGUGGGCUGGAGCACUGUAGAGGCGGGUGGAAUUCCGGGUGUAGCGGUGGAAUGCGUAGAGAUCCGGAAGAACACCGGUGGCGAAGGCGGGUCUCUGGGCCGAUACUGACGCUGAGGAGCGAAAGCGUGGGGAGCGAACAGG